rnacentral:tRNA from 1 species
ACCACUGAUACUUGUGUGACCUAAUUUGAAAUUAGGUAAUUUGGUUUAUUCCAACAUUGGUU